rnacentral:rRNA from 1 species
CCCGCUGAAUGAGGCGAGCCUGACGGAGCAUGCCGCGUGAGGUGAAGCGCUCUGACGUGUAAACCACUGUCAGGGGUUGGAAACAAUGAUCGACCCCAGAGGAAGUGGCGACUAACUCUGUGCCAGCAGCCGCGGUAAUACCCCCC